AAAUUGAAGAGUUUGAUCAUGGCUCAGAUUGAACGCUGGCGGCAGGCCUAACACAUGCAAGUCGAACGGUAACAGGAAGCAGCUUGCUGCUUUGCUGACGAGUGGCGGACGGGUGAGUAAUGUCUGGGAAACUGCCUGAUGGAGGGGGAUAACUACUGGAAACGGUGGCUAAUACCGCAUAAUGUCGCAAGACCAAAGAGGGGGACCUUCGGGCCUCUUGCCAUCAGAUGUGCCCAGAUGGGAUUAGCUUGUUGGUGAGGUAACGGCUCACCAAGGCGACGAUCCCUAGCUGGUCUGAGAGGAUGACCAGCCACACUGGAACUGAGACACGGUCCAGACUCCUACGGGAGGCAGCAGUGGGGAAUAUUGCACAAUGGGCGCAAGCCUGAUGCAGCCAUGCCGCGUGUAUGAAGAAGGCCUUCGGGUUGUAAAGUACUUUCAGCGGGGAGGAAGGUGUUGUGGUUAAUAACCGCAGCAAUUGACGUUACCCGCAGAAGAAGCACCGGCUAACUCCGUGCCAGCAGCCGCGGUAAUACGGAGGGUGCAAGCGUUAAUCGGAAUUACUGGGCGUAAAGCGCACGCAGGCGGUCUGUCAAGUCGGAUGUGAAAUCCCCGGGCUCAACCUGGGAACUGCAUUCGAAACUGGCAGGCUUGAGUCUUGUAGAGGGGGGUAGAAUUCCAGGUGUAGCGGUGAAAUGCGUAGAGAUCUGGAGGAAUACCGGUGGCGAAGGCGGCCCCCUGGACAAAGACUGACGCUCAGGUGCGAAAGCGUGGGGAGCAAACAGGAUUAGAUACCCUGGUAGUCCACGCCGUAAACGAUGUCUACUUGGAGGUUGUGCCCUUGAGGCGUGGCUUCCGGAGCUAACGCGUUAAGUAGACCGCCUGGGGAGUACGGCCGCAAGGUUAAAACUCAAAUGAAUUGACGGGGGCCCGCACAAGCGGUGGAGCAUGUGGUUUAAUUCGAUGCAACGCGAAGAACCUUACCUGGUCUUGACAUCCACAGAACUUUCCAGAGAUGGAUUGGUGCCUUCGGGAACUGUGAGACAGGUGCUGCAUGGCUGUCGUCAGCUCGUGUUGUGAAAUGUUGGGUUAAGUCCCGCAACGAGCGCAACCCUUAUCCUUUGUUGCCAGCGAUUAGGUCGGGAACUCAAAGGAGACUGCCAGUGAUAAACUGGAGGAAGGUGGGGAUGACGUCAAGUCAUCAUGGCCCUUACGACCAGGGCUACACACGUGCUACAAUGGCGCAUACAAAGAGAAGCGACCUCGCGAGAGCAAGCGGACCUCAUAAAGUGCGUCGUAGUCCGGAUUGGAGUCUGCAACUCGACUCCAUGAAGUCGGAAUCGCUAGUAAUCGUGGAUCAGAAUGCCACGGUGAAUACGUUCCCGGGCCUUGUACACACCGCCCGUCACACCAUGGGAGUGGGUUGCAAAAGAAGUAGGUAGCUUAACCUUCGGGAGGGCGCUUACCACUUUGUGAUUCAUGACUGGGGUGAAGUCGUAACAAGGUAACCGUAGGGGAACCUGCGGUUGGAUCACCUCCUUACCUGAAAGAAGC
rnacentral:rRNA from 2 species